rnacentral:misc_RNA from 1 species
AGCGCACCUUGCACUCUUUGGUAUUCCGAAGAGUAUGUCUGUUUGAGUGUCAUGAAGUUCUCAACCCCCUCAUUUUGUAACGAAACGAGCGUGGGCUUGGAUUAUGGUUGUUUGUCGGCGUAAAGCCGGCUCAGCUGAAAUACACGAGCAAUCCACUUUGAAAUAGACGGUUUGACUUGGCGUAAUAAUUAUUUCGCUGAGGACGUCCGAUUCAAUGUAGUGAUGCUUCUAAUUCAUUAAUCAUUUAAGCUUUAGACCUCAAAUCAGUCAGGACUACCCGCUGAACUUAA